AGAAAGCUUUAUACCUCUUUAUUUUUAUUGCAUUGGUUGCCUUGGUGAAGAUGCUAAUCAUAAGAACAACAGAGAGCCCCAGGGAGACUGGCAAAACACUGAAUGCCUAAAAUUUAAAGAAUUACAAUCUCCGGCCAAAGGAGAGAAAAAACCCCUGAAGAAGAAAGCAACAGAACUCAGUUACCUCAGACGUCUACAAUGUACGAGGUCAUUCCAUCAAGUUUUAUAAAGCAAC